UAGAAAUAUUUAAAAGUAACUUUAAACAUUUAACUUUUAGAAUUUUAAGAUAAAAUAUUUAAGACAAAUACGCUUACUGUAAUUUUUAAAUUGUGUAAAUUUACUUGCUUGAAUUUUGACCCUUUUAAAUUAAACAAAAACACAUAUUAAAAAUAUAAACAAAAAUAUUAAAAUACAAAAGCACAAAAUAAAACAUGUUACAAUUUAAACAUUGCAGGGAUUGUUUUGUUUGAAUUUUAGUAUUUUAAACUAAAACUUUUCAAACAAAAAUAAAAUAAAUAUAAAACAUGAAAUAAAGAUUUAAGGGGAAAAAAUGGCAAAUAAAGCUACUAGAAAUAUUUAAAUGUAACUGUAAGCAUUUAACUUUUAGAAUUUUAAGAUAAAAUAAGACAAGUAUGCUUACUGUAAUUUUUAAAUUGUGUAAAUUUACUUGCUUGAAUUUUGACCCUUUUAAAUUAAACAAAAACACAUAUUAAAAAUAUAAACAAACAUAUUAAAAUACAAAAGCACAAAAUAAUGCAUGUUACAAUUUAAACAUUGUAGGCAUUUUUUGUUUGAAUUUUAGUAUUUUAAACUAAAACUUAAACAGCAAAAUUGCACACUUUGAAUUUAUCUGUUUUGAUGAAAAUUGCAGACGAAUUCUAAAUGUUCUGUGAGUUGGUUCAGUAAGUAAUAUCAGUGACAGCUAUGGAAAAUACAAAUAUAUGGAAAAUACAAAAAAUAUUAACUAACACAAAAUUGAUCAAAAUAUUCAAACGAGAAACUUAAAUUUUUGAAUCAGUUUAUGUAUUUAAUUUGUCAAUAUUUAGCCUUUUAAUUAGGAUAGCUCCCAAAGCCUUUCUCCUCUCCUUACAUAAAACAGUCUUGGCACUGGAGUAUGCCGGUAUUUUAGUAAUAAAAUCAUAACCUUUUUGAUAUAAUUCUGAAAGUAGUUUUGGAAAUAUAUGGGGAACGGGAACUGAUUUUUUUUUGGGGGGGGGGACUUUUCUUCUGCAAGUCUCUAACUUCCUUUUAACUUCGUUCUCAGUAAUGUUGGGCACGCAGAAAUGUACUUCGUAUAUGUACUUUCUUCAGUACUUUGUAUUGAAAAUUUCUCUUUACAUUUCCUUUACAACGAUGUGUCUUUUCUUUUACACAUACCCAACUCAUUCCUAAUUUAUUUUUUCGGUGUGGGUAAUCAUCUACAACUAAACAUUCUUUUUUUGUAGAGAGUAAUUUUUUUAAAAUGGCUAUGGGUUCCAUCGCAGAUUUUUUUUCGACGCUAAAAAAGACAUACAUGCUUCAUAAGGAUCAAACAUCGACUGAGAAAAUGAGAAAGACAUUUUCUAUUAUAAGUAUCGGCUUUUCUCUACAGCAGGUGCAAAGCUUGAAACUACACAAUAGAUGACAUAUGACUGAUUAGGAAAACAACACAAUAAGUGCGAGAAUGUCCGCUCUGUCCACCUAGCUACUCUCACGUGUCCGCUGUAGCCACUGUCCGCUCUGACCGCGUAACCAACCAAUACAACCACCAAGAACCGGCUCAGUGUGCGCAGGUGAAACAGAAAUAUCAAACUUCCAUCCUGGAUCCUGGUAUGUCUGAAAAACUUAAAGGAAGACAAGCCUAAGAUACUAAUUCUGAAAUGCAUAUUAUUUUAAAAGAUAACAAACCUAUAUCUCUGAUACCCAGAAGAUAUAAGAGAUAAAGAAAGUGUUCAACUAAAACAAGUAAAAUCUAUUUUACAAUUGGAUUUGGAUGUUCAUGAAGAACAAGUUAUGUCUUUGGAAAGAAAACUUUCCGUAUCAGACUGUAGAAAUUUUACAGAAACAACUAUUAGAUGCCAAGAAUGAAAUAGAAGCUGCGAAAAUACAAAUGUUUAAGGUACAAGAAGAAAAUAAGAAAACAUAUAACUUUCGAAGACGUUCUUCAAAAUGUUAUGAAAUUAAUGAUUUAGUAGCAAUCAAAAGGACGCAAUUUGGACCAAUAAGUUAAAAUCAAAGUAUUUAGGCUCGUAUAAGAUUGUCAAAAUAAAGAAUAAUGACUCCUAUGAUGUUGUAAAAGAAGGAGAUCAUGAAGGACCCACUAAAACAAGUACAUGCGCUGAAUACAUAAAACAAUGGACUCAAGCAGAAGAAGAUGAAUAAAAUAAUACUGAUUAUGACGUUCUUAACCUGAAGUGAUACAACUGAUAACCGAACUGUGAGUUUCCACCUAAUAAUGACUUUUAUUUCAGUAAAUGCUAUUUUUAAGAUGAAAUGAACAUUUCCAAAACUGUUAAAGAUUGAAGAUAUUUUUCGUUUUAGAUGAAAUAUAGAAGGGACUGUCGACGAUGUUAUUGUGCAAAGAUGAAGGACAAUUAAGAUGUUUCCUUUCAAUAUUGUCCUUAGCACACAAUCUUCCCCUCUCCCUUCGUACUUCUUUUCAGGUUUCGGCUUAUUUACGAUGAUGGUUCUUUUUAUGAUGUCAAGAGUAGAAUAAUGUCGUCGAGGUCGACGCAUAGCAGGAACCCGAAUGUGGGAUACUAAAUCCAUAGUUUAACAAUUUUCUUCGCGAGCUGUCUAAUUUUUAGCUGUUGACUGCACGAGUGAAAUUGAUAGAACUUUGAACACUUUGUUUUAUGAGAGGAGAUGUAAGAUGUUGUUUUAUAGAUAUAAGGUGUUAUAGAUGUUGUGUUAAUAAAUGAACGAUAUUAUACA
rnacentral:lncRNA from 1 species